UACGUAGGUCCCGAGCGUUGUCCGGAUUUAUUGGGCGUAAAGCGAGCGCAGGUGGUUUAUUAAGUCUGGUGUAAAAGGCAGUGGCUCAACCAUUGUAUGCAUUGGAAACUGGUAGACUUGAGUGCAGGAGAGGAGAGUGGAAUUCCAUGUGUAGCGGUGAAAUGCGUAGAUAUAUGGAGGAACACCAGUGGCGAAGGCGGCUCUCUGGUCUGUAACUGACGCUGAGGCUCGAAAGCGUGGGGAGCAAACAGG
rnacentral:rRNA from 1 species